rnacentral:rRNA from 1 species
GACGAACGCUGGCGGCGUGCCUAAUACAUGCAAGUAGGACGCAGUUGCGAACGGGAGAGUAACGAGUAGGUAACUAACUAUUAGUGGGGGAUAACUAUUGGAAACGAUAGCUAAUACAGCAUACAAGUAGAUGGACCUGCGUGGUAUUAGGUAGGAGCUAGGGUAAAGGGCUCCCUGGGCAACGAUACAUAGCCGACCCUGAGGGGGGAGCGGCCACCAUGGGACUGAGACACGGCCCAGACUCCUACGGGAGGCAGCAGUAGGGAAGUUUCGGCAAUGGGGGGAACCCUGACCGAGCAACGCCGCGUGAGGGAAGAAGGUUUUCGGAUCGUAAAGCUCUGUUGUUAAGGAAGCGGUACUUAACCAGAAAGGGACGGCUAACUACGUGCCAGCAGCCGCGGUAAUAC